CAAUGAUAAAAUGAAAAUGACAUAACGCCCUUCUGCAAAGACACCAAUGCCCUCCUUUAUCUAUUCGUUCUAUGUGUCUGUUUUCUCUGUCCUCCUCUCCCUCUCAAAUCCAACAUCCUAUGUAUCAAUAUUUAUUCUCCGUUGCUGCUUUUCGGGUUGAAGGAGGUGAAGUGGAAAGAGAUAGGGCUUGGUUACAUAUACUGCGACUGGUUAUUGUUGCAUCAGUGUUUUUUCUCUCCCUCCGUGCUUUGCGGUUUCUGUAUUUUCCAACGUUUAAGGCAUUGUUGUCUAAUCUAUGUCGGUCAAUUUGCUACAUGUGAGGAGCCCAUUUGCAAACCCUAGGUCACUGGAGUUUGCACGCUAGAAGAGAAGUUGAGUGAGUGUUGGAUUGUGUCUGAACUCUGAACUUUGGUUGAGGGGAGUUUAGUUGUAAGAAGCCAAAACGACGCGGUUUUGCGGUCAAUACCCACGUUUUAGUAUCAUUUGGGAUUGCAACUUGAGUGGAUUACACGGUUUGAGAUCACUGGAGUUUGCACGCUAGAAGAGAAGUUGAGUGUGUGUUGGAUUGUGUCUGAACUCUGAACUUUGUGUGAGGGGAGUUUAGUUGUAAGAAGCCAAAACGUUUAGCGGAUUUUGAAGAAGGAAGAUGUGUGCACAUGCCACAUCAUCAACGUGCACCAAUGGUGUACUAGCAAGAAGUUCAUAUAGAUCCUUGUAACC